rnacentral:lncRNA from 1 species
CAUCACACAGAGAAGAUUCUGGGUGGUGGAGACAAGAUGUCACAAUUUAUUUGCUUUCUUCUUUGAAUGCUGAAUUCUCUGGCUGUCUCCUUCAUGGAGCUUUGCGACAUUAGGGAAGAGCGGAGUGGGGAUCUUUCAUAGAGGGCACGUGACAGCCCAGACCUCAGUCCCACCAUUCCUUGCGCACAGAUGAAAACAUGGGAGAGAAGCUCGGCUCACCAUGAUCAGAGGUACAGCAUUCAUAUCACUUGAAAUGAUCUUUCUGGGCCCAACAAACUGAAAAAACUCACCAGGAGAACUAAGGCUGGGAUACUCCCAAGGAAAAAAGGCUUGUAGCAUACAAGAAUAUUUGCUUAGCAACUCAAGCACACUCCCACAGAACUGAAGACAUACCUUUUUUGGUUCUAGGAGAGAGAAUAAAGAGAGAGAUAUUCCUGUUGAUGAAAAUGAUGGCAGAUAAAAUGUGUUUGAAGGCUAUAAAAGCUUCUUACAUCUGGAGCAGCUG